rnacentral:rRNA from 1 species
CCUGGUGAUCAUAGUGAAAGGGCCACACCCGUACCCAUUCCGAACACGGUAGUUAAGCCUUUCAACGCCGAUGGUACUGCUCAUAAGCGGGAGAGUAGGACGUCGCCAGGG